AGAUGUGUGAAUAAUGUACAGUGAAUGUCUCUUUUGCAUCGGCAAUUUCGUUUUCAAUGGCCUUAGAAAUGACCCUUGUUUGUUAACCUAACCAAGCUUCAACCGAAAAGCCCUUAGUGAUCUUCGUGCUUCCACAUUACCAUUUAUAAUUGUUAGACAUUGUAUGAAUCGAAUUGAUUUCUUCAUUGUUUGUUAGAGAGUGAGAUUAUU
rnacentral:lncRNA from 1 species